GGGAGGGCCGGGGGUGGGUCUCGACCGGCGAGGGGGGCGGCGGCCGGCCGGCGGGGUCGCUGGCGUCCUCUUCCCGGGCCGGAGGCGGGGCGUGCCCGCAGCGGCUCCUCCCCCUGGGCUCCGCGCCGGCAAUGGGAGCCCUGGUGCGGGUGGGAGAGAGCAAGCGUGUCCUCCUUCCGCCUCCCCUCUCUGUCGUCCGCACUGGGCUGGGGCGGCGGCGCCUGAGCGGUUCCCUCGCGAGCCGGCAAAGACCCAGCGGCUGGGAGAGGAGGAGGAGCGGCUGGGCCGGGCGGAGACGCUUGCGGGCUCCGCGCACUGCAAUUCAGCCAAUCAGAGAUCUGAGCUGACGGUUACGUAGAUCUCUCCGCCCCAGGGACCGCCUUUCUCGGAGAAGCCACGCCCAACUGCUGCCUGGCUGGCUUCUCUUGCGACUUCCGCGAGGUCCUAAUGUCUGUCGUUUCCUGUGGCUGGAGGAGACCGGGUGAGACGGUGGGGCUAAGUGGUCUCACCAGGGCACGGGGAGAAGCGUGAGAGGCUCAAGUUAGAGGAGGAAAGUAGGCGACUUCAUUUUUCCCGAGGACCCAGACCCCAUUUUGACGACUGACACCCCACUGCUGUGCUCCUCGCGUCAGCCGCCUGCUCACCUCUGCCAGCACCGUCCCGGCGCCCUGAGCAAGUCCCGGGAACCGGCAUUUCACUCUAGGACCGCGCAGACCCCAAGACGAACCCGUUCAAGUCCUCCACCGCCUGGUGGGCUUUAUGAAAGUCAGCAAUGGGAUUAUUCCCACCUUGUAAAACUUUACAGGGAUCAUUUGUGUUGAUUCUCCGUGUCGCAGAUCAGAGAAUUGGGCUGGGAUGCAAGGCGGUGACUUGGGGGCCUGGACAUUUGGACCGCGAGCUAGCCGCCAGGCCCAGACUGGCUGCUCUGUGCGGAGGUGGGGACUGGAGACCUGACCCGCCGCUGGCCCAAGGGCUGCUUCUGGUCUGUAAAGCUCUUAAAAGAUUAUUUCCAUGGUAGUUUGGGGUAAAGCCCUCCCGCACGUUUCUUUUGGAAAUCAUUAAUUUGCUAAAUAACGUUUUGGUGCCCAACACUAACACUUUGAAUCCUUGUGCCUGUAUGAAUUUCCUGUAACUCAAGGAAUGUAAUAAGGUACCAUAGGAUUUAAUUUUUUUUAAAGGUUUAAAGGCCUGCAAAAUGUCUUUCACACUGUUGCUUUUUUUUUAGUGAUACAGUCCAAAUUUUUAAAACCCAGAGGGAUCAUUUGAGGGUUAAUUUUUUUAAAAAGGUGGUUUAAAAACAACAACAAUGCUCUAAGAAUUUCUACUACAACUAUAUAAUAAGGAGUAUGGACAAAAAUAAGAAUCAUAUUGUAACUCCAAGAUGUUGGGACAUCUGUUGGGAGAACAUAUGUUGAACCCUCUUUAUCUCACAACUUUAUGCUUUAUAACUCAGUACAAAUUUGAAUUGAACCUUAAAUCAUCUUCGUGAGAGAUGGAAAAUUAUUUUCAACAUAUUUCAGGUUGGCAAAUACAUGAAAACCAUUCUUUCAUGUAACCUGCUAUUUUCUUAAAUUCUUUGGGUGUAAUUUACAAUCAGACAAACUUAUAAGGACUGUUAUUAAACCAUCCUUGUCCCAUUUUGCUGUCAACCUGAACUGCUCCUGCCUUUUCUCCUACUCCUACAUUUCUAAAGCGUAGGAUUGACUACUUUAAGCAAUCAAUAAUAGUACUAAUCUUUCUAGAUAUGCACAUGUCCUUUCUAGAUCUGCAUGCUUAUAUAGUGAGCAAAUGCUUCACUUCCAGGUUGAUUUUUACAUGGAACCUAAGCAAAGGGUCUUUACAUUUUCUUGACAACAAGAAUCCAUUUGGAAUGAAUGUUCCACAACAUUUGAUGUAUGAAUUUUACAUCAGAAUUCUUAUUUGUGAAUUCUUUUGUCUUUCUAGGUUUGGCCAACAUUAGAAAAUACAAUGAUAGGGGCUGGGAUUGUGGCUCAGCGGUAGAGCGCUAGUCUAGCAUGUGUAGGGCCCUGGGUUCGAUCCUCAGCACCACAUAAAAAUAAAUAAACAAAACAAAGGUAUUGUGUCCAACUACUUCUAAAAAAUAAAUAUAUAAAAAAAGCAGUAAUAAAAGCUCCUAAGCAUAAAUGGCAUAGACUAUAACUUAAUGACUUGAGUCCUCAUCCAUAAGCUCCACAGUUUGCUUUUUAUCCCCUCAAUGAGUUGUUUUAGGACCCUUUCUUUCUCCACACUGCAACCAGACUAGCCCUCAGUGCUGUCUCUGCUCCAUCAUAAAUGACAGGUAGAACACAUUCACUAAGGGAGAAGCCUAUAUGGGAAUCCUAGAGUGAGAUGGGAAUGUGUUUAGUUGGGAAAAACUACCCUGGUGAUUCUCAUGACUCCCUAUGAAGGUAUUCCUCCCACUUGGCCUACCCUGUUGAGAAUACCUGCUCUAGAUUCUCUGAUAUAUUAUAUGUUCCCUGUAUAAUCUGAUUAGAUGGGCUAGAUAGUCAUGGUGGGAGUGUGUUUUGUAUCCUAAUCUUGCAUAAAGGGAUAUAUCCCAUAAAAAACAUCUUUAAGCAAACAAACUGCUUGUUGUCUUUUGUCCCUAGAUGGUAUUUAAUGCACAGUGUACUAUUUUAUGUGCCUCUUUAAUAAUGAAAUAUUAUUAUUACUGUCAUGUAUUUCUAUGUACCUAGAAAACUUAUCAAGCUAAGAUUGUACUUUGGAUUAAGACACUAGCCAGUAAUUGAGGAGACUUUACAGCCCUCCCUUUUACAGUUAGGUUACUGCAAGAAUUUCACCAAAACCCCAGAUAAUUUGGUGGCUCAAGGCAAGACUGAUAAACUUAAUAAUAUCAACUCUAUAAAAGGUGCUCAAAUCAUCCGCUUCUACCGCAUAUAAUAUCCUGAAACAGCCAAUCUGAUUCAUCCCUAAAAUUUUUUCUAUUAGUAUUUCUGUUUGCCUGUUUAAUUCCUUUAUCAUCACACUUCCUGUUUCCUCCAUGAUAAUAUAAAUGUGUCAAUGGCAAUGACCAUGUCUUUUUCAACUUUGUAUUCUCCCAUUUGGCACAUAGCAGAUGUCCAUAAAUGUUUGUUGAAUAAGCAGACCAGUGAACAAUGAAACCAGAAAUAAAGGCCAGAAGCUCCUGGGGCAUUCAUGUCUGACAGUGAAGAGACAUGUGUCCCAGCAUUGUCAGACUUGUGCUGAGUCACUCAAGCUGAUUUGGCUGAAGUUAUACGCCUAUGCCUGAUCAAUCUCUGGGUCCAGAGAAGUGGAGUCAGCUUUUCCAGAACUAUUAGAAUUCCCAUUGGAAAGGAAGAAGGAAAAUGUGGAAGCUGGAGAAGCAACCAACAUGUGUCCAAUAUCAUCACACUUUAUUGUUUUGAUCAUUUAAAUUGUUCUGAUUAUAAGAUAUCUUAUACACAUUAGUUUUUAUUUGGUUAGAUCACAUACAUCAUUUAAAGCAGUUAAAUAUUAAAUUCUUUUUAAAGAGUACACCCAAAAAGUUGAUCUAAAGGUCUUAAAAACCAACACAGGUAAAUUAUAUAUUAUGAACUUUACUGAAUCCAUGUACUUCUCAAAAUACAUGGUUACAGCAAAUUAUUGUUGAGUUGUUGAUGGUCAAGCCAGCUUCAACCCACCAUCUCUUACAAUUUUGCCUUCAUGAAAGAGUCCUGAAUUUGUUCCAAGUAUCUAGCCUUUUCCCAAAAAACCUCUCUGGCUUGGGGAAGUCCUUUCCUAGUAAUUCAAGUCCUCUCCUAUACCUUGACCAGGAAACCAAUACAAAAUCCUGUACUUCUUAUUGGUUGGUCAUGAUGGCCACUUCUCAAAAGGACCCACAGGUCCAUAUGAAGAGGCUCUUACUGGCCAAAUCUGGCAAAAUUUGAGUAUCAAAAAGAGUAAGAUGGCAUCAUUGAUGUUUAAAAAAGUCAGGAGGGAUUAAAGGAAUGAGGGAUGGUGCUCAGAAAACUCUUUAUAGAAGAAUUCCAAAAAAUAUAGAAGGAACAGAUCUUUGUGCAAUGACCAAAUACAGUAAUUGGUUCAGGUAUUUUCACUAUCCUGGGCAGAAUUGUUGGGAAAGGAGCCAUUUACAUGUUCUCAGAGCAUCACCUCAAUUAAUUAAAAAAGGUAUUUUUUACAUGCCUACAUCUAAUGGAUGACACUUUAACCAUGUGAACAUCACCAAUAAUAGGACAAUCUAGUAUUCUUCCUUGGAUCAUAGAUAUUAUUGGAAAUACACAUUAUUUGAAAUAUUUUAUUUUUGCUAAAAUGUUUAAAGUGAAUCUAAUCAUGAGGAAAUAAGACAAAUUUAGACUACGGAAUAUUAUAUGAGAUGACUAACCUGAAUCUUCAAAAAUAUUAGUGUUAUCAGAACAAAUAUAGGAAAGGUACUGUUGUGGAUUAAAUAAAACUAAAGAGACAUGACAACUAAAUGCAAUUCAUGAUCUGAUUGGAUCCUGGAUUAAAAAAAAAAACUCUAAAAGACAUUUUGGGUAUAGUUAGGUAAAUUUGAAUAUGUAUUCCUUAUUAGUCAAUAAAUCAAAGCUUACUUUCUUAGGCAACAUAAUGGCAUUAUAAUUAUAUAGGAAAAAAAGCCUUGUUUUCAGAAAGUACAUGAUGAAGCCUUGAAGACUGGAAUGUCAUGGUAUCUGCAACUUAUUUCACAUAGCUCAAAAAAAUUAACAGAGAAGUAAAGCAAAUGUGAUAAAAACAAUAGGUAAAUCCAGGUGAAGGGUACAUGGGCACACAUUAUUAUUCUGUUUUACCUUUCUUUAGGUACAAUAGUUUUCCAAAGUAAAAUGAAAAUCAUAAGUAUACAUCCAGAGGUUGAAUAAAAAUAAAAUAUAGUAAUGCACAGGUUACUCAAAAAAGUAAAAAGGGCUGGAGAUGUAACUCAGUGGUAAAGUGAUUGCCUAGCAUUUGUAAGGCCUUGGGUUCAAUUCCCAGUAUCAUAGGGAUACCUAUUUUCAGAUUUUUACUGUGCUUGUAUGAAAUCAGUGAGUUUGUGAUGUAUACCAUUGCUGCCAUUGGACUUUGGUGACCUGCAGAACUAUUUUGGAGGAUUUGGGUGAUGGUGCCAGAAGGAUUAGAAAUGAUCAAAGAAAUUUGACUAAAUAUUAAAAAAAAAUCAAUAAAAGAUAUAAAGGGCUGGGUUUGUGGCGUUUGGUAGAGUGCUUGCCUAGCACGUGUGAGGCCCUGGGUUCAAUCCACACAAAGAUAAAUAAAUAAAGGUAUUGUAUCCAAC
rnacentral:lncRNA from 1 species